CGGUCCCCUGCCACGGCCCAAGCCGGCCACCAAUUUGGGGAAUGGGCAACAAGUCCUAGAGAGACAUGAGGGUACAUGGGACUCAGAGGUGUUCCGACAGACAUACCCUGGAAGCCAGUACAGCGAGUCCAGGGAAAAAUCACAUGCCCUUAAUCAAACCUUCCUAAUUCCAAGAGGAGAUGGAGAUUUACGAAAGAAAGCUCCAGUGACACAUAACUCCACUCAGGACCCCCUUGUCCUACAACUU
rnacentral:lncRNA from 1 species